rnacentral:rRNA from 1 species
GAUGAACGCUGGCGGCGUGCCUAAUACAUGCAAGUCGAGCGAACGGACGAGAAGCUUUCUUCUCUGAUGUUAGCGGCGGACGGGUGAGUAACACGUGGAUAACCUACCUAUAAGACUUGGAUAACUUCGGGAAACCGGAGCUAAUACCGGAUGAUAUUUUGAACCGCAUGGUUCAAAAGUGAAAGACGGUCUUGCUGUCACUUAUAGAUGGAUCCGCGCUGCAUUAGCUAGUUGGUAAGGUAACGGCUUACCAAGGCAACGAUGCAUAGCCGACCUGAGAGGGUGAUCAGCCACACUGGAACUGAGACACGGUCCAGACUCCUACGGGAGGCAGCAGUAGGGAAUAUUCCGCAAUGGGCGAAAGCCUGACGGAGCAACGCCGCGUGAGUGAUGAAGGUCUUCGGAUCGUAAAACUCUGUUAUUAGGGAAGAAAAGAUGUGUAAGUAACUGUGCACAUCUUGACGGUACCUAAUCAGAAAGCCACGGCUAACUACGUG